CUAAUUUUGCAAGAUUUCGGGAUUUGAGUUCACUAUUUCUGGAUUUUAAAUUCUUUUCUAUCAGUAUGUAAUAGAGAAAUAGCCCAUUCUCUAGCUAAUCAGGUUACGAGUGAGCCACAAAUCGGGUGGUGGCAGCAAAUCCCGGCAUGUGCGGUAGCACUCCUAGUCUCUUAUUGUAAUCCCGGCACUUAAGAUUGAAUGAAUCCUCGCAAAAAAAAUUGUGCAAGAAUUUUUUUUUUAUUUUCUAAUACUAGGCACAAAUAUUAUGCAAUGUAUUCAUCCGAACCUGUAGUUUUAUUCUCCUAAAAUCUGGAAAAUUAUUCUCCUAACUAAAUCUAGAAUAUUUUUCUUGUCAACGUUGCUUCCUAUAUCUAGAACAUAGCUAUGCUUAACAAAAAAAUAAGAAGAAAAUAAUAUAUCUUCACAAGAAACAUAUUCAUAUGGGGUUCUAUUUGUUUUGAAAGAUUUAUCGUAAAAAAAACAUAAUUGUACAAUUGGAAUUCAGUUUGAAUCAUUAAUUUAGCAACUUUUAACAAAUUUUCAGAAGCAUGUAUAUAUAUUCAUCAAACGCUGGAUCUGUACACAGGCGUGGUAAACAGUCGAGCGGAGAAGCAUGCGGAGCUUAAAAAAAAACACGCGGCCCAACAUUGUGAAUGUGAUCUUUCGGCGCACCAAAGCGG
rnacentral:lncRNA from 1 species